rnacentral:rRNA from 1 species
UACAGAGGGUGCAAGCGUUGUUCGGAAUUAUUGGGCGUAAAGGGCGCGUAGGCGGUGCCACAAGUCACCUGUGAAAUCUCCGGGCUUAACUCGGAGCCUGCAGGCGAAACUGUGGUGCUGGAGUGUGGGAGAGGUGCGUGGAAUUCCCAGUGUAGCGGUGAAAUGCGUAGAUAUUGGGAGGAACACCAGUGGCGAAGGCGGCUCACUGGACCGGAACUGACGCUGAGGCGCGAAAGCGUGGGGAGCAAACGGG